rnacentral:rRNA from 1 species
GACGAACGCUGGCGGCGUGCUUAACACAUGCAAGUCGAGCGGUAAGGCCCUUUCGGGGGUACACGAGCGGCGAACGGGUGAGUAACACGUGGGUGACCUGCCCUCAGCUCUGGGAUAAGCCUGGGAAACUGGGUCUAAUACCGGAUAUGACUUCGCAUCGCAUGGUGUGGGGUGGAAAGUUUUUCGGCUGGGGAUGGGCCCGCGGCCUAUCAGCUUGUUGGUGGGGUGAUGGCCUACCAAGGCGACGACGGGUAGCCGGCCUGAGAGGGCGACCGGCCACACUGGGACUGAGACACGGCCCAGACUCCUACGGGAGGCAGCAGUGGGGAAUAUUGCGCAAUGGGCGGAAGCCUGACGCAGCGACGCCGCGUGGGGAUGACGGCCU